GAGGGAGUUCUAUUUUGUUAGCUGCUCAGGGAUCAAGCCCAUUCAUACAAAGGCGUCGUAAAAUAAGAUAUCCAUGAAACUUCCGUUAUCAACCAAAACAUGGUGUACAUCAUAAUUUGAAACAUUGAGAGAUAAGAAUAGGAUCAUCGUGUAGAUAUUUUAUUCCAUCUAGGUCAGCCUCAGAGAAAAUAAUUUUAUCCCUGACCUUUCUCUUCUUUGGCUCCU
rnacentral:lncRNA from 1 species